CUACAUUUUACUAGAAACUUCUGUUGUAACUUUCUAGGAUGUUCCAUUAUAGACUGUUCUAGAAUCUUCCAUGACAAAUAUAUAUAUAUACAGACACUAAAGUUAAACUCACUCUUGUACUUACUCUUGGAUUUGGACUUAGACAUCGAUAGACAUUAAUAUUCAUAGCCUUUGGAUUGACACUUUUAUUCUACAAACAACAUCAUACUGGAUUGUGACCG
rnacentral:lncRNA from 1 species